rnacentral:rRNA from 1 species
CCUACGGGUGGCAGCAGUAGGGAAUCUUCCACAAUGGACGAAAGUCUGAUGGAGCAACGCCGCGUGAGUGAAGAAGGGUUUCGGCUCGUAAAGCUCUUUUGGUAGUGAAGAAAGAUAGAGGUAGUAACUGGCCUUUCUUUGACGGUAAUUACUUAGAAAGUCACGUCUAACUACGUGCCAGCAGCCGCGGUAAUACGUAGGGGGCAAGCGUUUUCCGGAUUUGUUGGGCGUAAGGAGAGUGCAGGCGGUUCAAUAAGUCUGAUGUGAAAUCCUGCGGCUUAACCGGAGAAUUGCAUUAGAAACUGUUGAACUUGAGUGCAGAAGAGGAGAGUGGAACUCCAUGUGUAGCGGUGGAAUGCGUAGAUAUAUGGAAGAACACCAGUGGCGAAGGCGGCUCUCUGGUCUGCAACUGACGCUGAUGCUCGAAAGCAUGGGGAGCGAACAGGAUUAGAUACCCCUGUAGUC